rnacentral:rRNA from 1 species
UGCGACCCCAGGUCAGGCGGGGCUACCCGCUGAGUUUAA